AAAAGAACACAAACCUCGAGAUAUAUUUUAAUGUUUCUUUUUUUUUUCUAUUUUUUUUUUUUCGUCUUUUAUCCUAUCAUCUAUUGGAUUCACCCCGCAAUAAAAUAGUUCCAUUGGAGCCGGUUCGAAGUUCGGCUCCUGGUGCCAGUAUGUUAAGACAUCCAGGAAAGUGAAGGUCCUCCUACUAUCCUUCUCAUCAUGCUAUAAAAGUGAGCGAAGAAGAAGAAGAGGAAGGAAGAAUUAGAGGCAGUGUAUGUUGAAAUUUGAAUUGUGUUUGUGUGUUUGUGUGUGUUGUCUUAUCUCUCCGAUAA
rnacentral:ribozyme from 13 species